rnacentral:rRNA from 1 species
GACAGAGGGUGCAAACGUUGUUCGGAAUGACUGGGCGUAAAGCGCGUGUAGGCGGCUCGGCAAGUCGGAUGUGAAAGCCCUGGGCUCAACCCAGGAAGUGCACUCGAAACUGCCGAGCUGGAGUCCCGGAGAGGAAGGCGGAAUUCUCGGUGUAGAGGUGAAAUUCGUAGAUAUUGGCUGGAACACCGGUGGCGAAAGCGGCUCUCUGGCCCGGUUCUGACGCUGAGGCGCGAAAGCGUGGGGAGCAAACAGG